UCCUGGUUUCCCAGGCAGUCUCGUUAGAGUGCUCCAAUUAAGGGUGGCAACUAACGACAAGAGUUGCGCUCGUUAAAGGACUUAACCUAACAUCUCACGACACGAGCUGACGACAGCCAUGCAGCACCUGUGUACAUGUAUCAGGUUUCCCCUUUAAGACUGUGUUUCCACAGCUGUCAUGUACAUGUCAAGCCUAGGUAAGGUUUCUCGCGUAGUGUCGAAUUAAACCACAUGUUCCACCGCUUGUGCGGACCCCCGUCAAUUUCUUUAAGUUUUAAUCUUGCGAUCGUACUACUCAGGCGGAUCACUUAACGCGUUAGCUGCGACACUGGGAUAAAUCCCAACGUCUAGUGAUCAUCGUUUACUGCGUGGACUAC
rnacentral:misc_RNA from 1 species